AUUUAGAGAUUUGCAGAUGUAACCCACUCUUGUUAAGAACACCUCGCUCUAGGUUCGGGGAGCUGAGUUAGAGUGCAAUAACCAUAACAACACAAAAGAAGUGUAAUUUAACUGCAACUUUAGUAGAUGAAUUGCAAAGAAAUCUACAUUACAUUUACUAUGUGAAAAACAAUAAACAGGCCCUUUACACAAAAUAAAAUUGUCCUUGUAUGGAGUUCUCCAAAAUGUCUAUCCAGGUCAAUGUCUGAUGAGUAGUGUUUCCUGAGUUCCAGUCUAACGGAAGUUAAAUCAGUCAAAAGUCAUGGGUCAAAGUUCAAAGUGCAAUAUUGUCUAUGUAUAUCUGCUGUGGGUACCAAUAUGGGGAACUGGCACACUCCUACCACAUGCUAGAUAUUUCAUCCAGCAGUUUCAAUAGCGACGGAGAUCCGAUUUCCUGGAAGUCGCACAGGGUGGCUCGCCAUCUACUGGGUCAGUGGUUUUCCUCGUUGAAUCUCAGUAGUCACAAAAGACCUGACCUGCAGUUACAAACAAGCUCAUAGUCUCUGUUCUGUUUCGCCUUAUACUUCUCUUACAUAUCUCACAUAUUUCUGUUGUACAACC